rnacentral:tRNA from 1 species
GCACCAGUAGCUCAGCUGGAUAGAGUAAUCGGCUACGAACCGAUCGGUCAGGGGUUCGAAUCCCUUCUGGUGCGCCA